UGCCAGACUCCUACGGGAGGCAGCAGUGGGGGAUAUUGCACAAUGGGGGAAACCCUGAUGCAGCAACGCCGCGUGUGGGAAGAAGGUUUUCGGAUUGUAAACCACUGUUCUUGGUGAAGAUAAUGACGGUAACCAAGGAGAAAGCUCCGGCUAACUACGUGCCAGCAGCCGCGGUAAUACGUAGGGAGCAAGCGUUGUCCGGAUUUAUUGGGUUUAAAGGGUGCGUAGGCGGAAUGCCAAGUCAGCGGUAAAAUCGCGGGGCUAAACCUCGCUCCGCCGUUGAAACUGGCGUUCUUGAGUGGGCGAGAAGUAUGCGGAAUGCGUGGUGUAGCGGUGAAAUGCAUAGAUAUCACGCAGAACUCCGAUUGCGAAGGCAGCAUACCGGCGCCCAACUGACGCUGAAGCACGAAAGCGUGGGUAUCGAACAGGAUUAGAUACCCUGGUAG
rnacentral:rRNA from 1 species